rnacentral:misc_RNA from 1 species
GAUGAAGAACGUAGCGAAAUCCGAUAAGUAAUGUGAAUUGCAGAAUUCAGUGAAUCAUCGAAUCUUUGAACGCACAUUGCGCCCCCUGGUAUUCCGGGGGGCAUGCCUGUUCGAGCGUCAUUUCACCACUCAAGCCUCGCUUGGUAUUGGGCAACGCGGUCCGCCGCGUGCCUCAAAUCGACCGGCUGGGUCUUCUGUCCCCUAAGCGUUGUGGAAACUAUUCGCUAAAGGGUGUUCGGGAGGCUACGCCGUAAAACAACCCCAUUUCUAAGGUUGACCUCGGAUCAGGUAGGGAUACCCGCUGAACUUAAGCAUAUCAAUAAGCGGAGGA